rnacentral:rRNA from 1 species
AUCGAACGCUGGCGGCAGGCCUAACACAUGCAAGUCGAACGAGUGGCGGACGGGUGGGUAAUGUCUGGGAAACUGCCUGAUGGAGGGGGAUAACUACUGGAAAAGGUAGCUAAUACUGCAUCCCAUCUGCUGUGCCACUAUGGGAUUAUCUAGUAGGUGGGGUAAAGGCUAACCUAGGCGACGAUCCCUAGCUGGUCUGAGAGGAUGACCAGCCACACUGGAACUGAGACACGGUCCAGACUCCUACGGGAGGCAGCAGUGGGGAAUAUUGCACAAUGGGCGCAAGCCUGAUGCAGCCAUGCCGCGUGUAUGAAGAAGGCCUUCGGGUUGUAAAGUACUUUCAGCGGGGAGGCGUUACCCGCAGAAGAAGCACCGGCUAACUCCGUGCCAGCAGCCGCGGUAAUUC